rnacentral:lncRNA from 1 species
ACACUCACUUUUAAGUAGCAACGGGUUUACUCCUUGUGUUCUCAAAUAUAAGAGUUUAAUCUUGUAAGUCAAACAUUGCUAAGUUGUACUAAGUUUUUUAAAAAGAAAAAUAAUCAUUAUGAUGAAAAAUUAGCAUCAUUGAAUACGUUAUGAAAUAUAUUUUUAUAAUUUAUAUCUUCGAUGUGUUAGGUGUUAAUGCUCUUCUCAAUAAAGUUAGUCAAACUUAUUAUAGUUUUGAUCCAAAACAAAUUGGAUGCCUUAUUUUUUCACAACAGAACAAGUACUUUUUUUUAGUUUACCCAAAAAAACAAUAUAAUGCACGCAACACGCCCACACUCAUGUACCUAGGCUUAUCUAUACGAAUGCACGCAUACAGUUUAACUUUGAAUGUUUUCAUCAAGAGGCUAGGCAAACCUUACAGAAAUUAACAAAGUAACCAAAAUAAGUAUUCUCGUUUGAGCCAACAACCACCUUUGAUCCACAAAAGGAAAAAAAAACAAGUUUAAAAUAAUAUAAAUGGAAAUACACGCACCUGAACGGGAGAUUCAAACUUUGGGUGUCAAGUUUAACUAGAAGAUUCUUUUAAAAAAAAAGUUUAACCAGAAGAACGUAGUCGACACGCUCCAGUUUGCGUUUGCAAGUCCUAAUAAAUUCCUCCAUGUAGAAUUCCCAAAUAAAUAACCAACCAUAUAAGAUUUCUCACCGUUUGAAAUACCGAGAUUUAGAAGGAACAUAACACAUGUUCGUAUAUAUAGUAGUUACCAAGUAGCAGUGAUUCCGUCGGCAUAAAAAAAAAGUGAUUCCGUAAAGUGCGGGGAAAGCAGUGUGAGCCUGUGAGGUCAGUGGCACUAGGACUCGAUUCCGGCG